GAGCUUCGGCAGCACAUAUACUAAAAAUGGAACGCUACAGAGAAGAUUAGCAUGGCCCCUGCCCAAGGAUGAUACACAAAUUCGUAUCAUAAUACACAAACAA